AACACUAUGUUGUGUUAUAUCCACCUCUGCAGUGUCAUCGUCGUUGCUCCAUCUCUACCUCAAAUGGCGUUCUCCAUGCCGAUGUUCCUUCGUUUUUGUUUCUCCUUGUCUGCUUCUGUUUCCUUUGAACAAAGGUCAAUGGAAUCAAUUGACUGAUUUCAAAUUUUGAAUCUUCCAUUUCUCUCCGUUCAUGAUGUCGACUGCUAUUGGAUUAAAAAAAAUCGCUAAUAAGGAACGGGAAGGAGGUGAAUAUUACUGCUUCCAAAGCCUUUGGAUGUGUACUAAUUUCAUCAAUCAAACGACCUUUUUCUUGCUUACAAAUCUUUUGUCAACACGAUGGAGCACCUAUUGGAGCCUCAACUUAUGAAUUUUCCGAUUUCCUUGGACUGAUGAUGGGAUGAAAUGCAUGUCGAUCGAGGGAACCCAUCCAUGAACUUGGGCAUUGCCAAAUUUCUUGGUUUUCAACAAGUACUAUGUAGUUGGUUGUUACUUUGUUUCUAACGGUGAUAUUCCCAACUUUUUUGUUACUUAUGUGGUAUCUAUGUUGGUAUGAGUGAAAAGUUCAUCAGGAGUUGUUGUGGUUGGGGUUGCAAAUGG